rnacentral:misc_RNA from 1 species
ACAUUUGACAAAGAAAACAAAAAAGACAUUUAUUUAUUUUGUUGACAAGACCUAUUUGAAAACAUAAUAAGUCCCUCUCGUCCUGAAUUAAGAUUGUGGACACCCUAUAGCUCUGGACUGCAAAAAGACUCAAAAGUAAGCCAAAAGUGAAGAACCCACACUUCUUAUGAAUAUCAUAAUAGAAGAGAUGAUCCCUCUUCUCUUUGAGAGUAUAUAUUCGAUUCAGGCAGAGACUCUUUCACAAAAAGAACAAAAGAAUUAAGUUAUCGCCGAAUCUCUAUCCCAAAAAAGUAGCCCCAUGAAUGAGUGAUGCUCAGCAAAUAUCAUAUCUAGUGCUUGUUACAUCCAACCGACCAGAUACAGGACCAUAUUCGAUAAAAUGAUGUGUUAGAUGUCGCAAUCGGGAUGAGAAAGCAGGAAAUGCAUCAUCAUUAAUUAAAAAGGUCCAAUGAUCCAUAACUUGGUCUGCAUAACAAAGAAAAGAAAACGUACAUGGACCUAGAGUUGUAACAGGCACUCUUCAAGUUCUAAAAAUAGCUAUAUAAUGUCCACCACUAUUAGUUCAGCUGCUGUAAACAGUGAUAGAAUUCGAUCUUGCUUCUCUUCAGAAACCGUGAAUCUUGAUGUUCUCCUUCUUCACAAUGCCAGCCUGCACAAGGAAGGUAGACACAUUCUUUCUUUGGUCUCCCUGAAGUUGUAUAACCUGGCCUAGCUCAGGAUCUUGCACAACUGUGCCAUUACAGCAGAAUUCCUUCUUCAGAUCCUUGAGUAUCUUGUUAUAACUGAACUCCUUCUUCAAUCCUUGGACAGUUGUCAGGCUUUUUCUCCCGUUACGUUGCUGUAUGCGCACAUGAACGUAUUCUUUUGCCCCAGCUCCUGAGUCCUCAGCAUUUGCAUCAGCAAAUGGGUCAAAAGCAGAUGGAAUCUGCACGUUGAAUUCAGACAUGAAACUUGGCUGUCCGGGGUAGAACACAGGUAACCAACCAGCAAAUAAGAUAUUUGCUCUCAAUUAAACUGUGCUCAAAUCGGGAGAAAAAGAUGUGAAUCGGUGAAGUUGCAGAGGCGUUGCUGGCGGACGAGAGUGCGGUGGAGGGUGCGGAAGAGGGGAAGCCGGUGAUCGGAGAAGAUCAUACGAUUGUUGAGGCGAUGAAGACGGUUGAAUUUUGGAUUCUGUUUGGGUCGUUUCUGUGUGGAGUGGGAACGGGAUUGGCAGUGAUGAACAAUAUGGGACAGAUUGGAUUGGCUCUUGGAUACGACGAGGUUUCGAUUUUCAUAUCUCUGAUGAGUAUUUGGGGGUUUUUUGGCCGGAUUUUAUCGGGAUCAGUGUCGGAGCAUUUCAUCAAGAAAGCAGGAAUGCCAAGGCCACUAUGGAACGCAGCUUCUCAAAUUCUAAUGGCACUUGGCUACAUUCUCUUAGCCAUUGCCAUGCCUGGAUCCUUAUACAUCGGCUCGGUUGUUGUCGGGAUUUGCUAUGGCGUCCGUCUUGCCAUCACCGUCCCAAUGGCCUCUGAAGUCUUCGGUCUCAAAAACUAUGGCAUGAUCUACAAUGUUCUAAUCCUCAACCUCCCACUCGGUUCGUUCCUCUUCUCAGGACUGCUUGCCGGGAUCCUCUAUGAUUGGGAGGCGACAACGACGAAGGAAGGCGGCAAUAUGUGUGUGGGAGGGCAUUGUUAUAGGCUUGUGUUUGUUGUAAUGGCUUGUUCAUGUGUGGUUGGGUUUGCCAUGGACUUGUUUUUGGCCUUUAGAACCAAGAGGUUGUAUUCCAAAAUGAGGGGUCUAAAGGGAUAAAAGGUGACGAAGGCUAUUGGUCUUUACAUACAUCUCUAUUGAUGCAUGCUCUUUUUCCCUUUAUUCUUGAAGUCUUAAAUAGUAAUUAUUUGCAAAUAAAAAGGUUGAGAAGUUUAUGAAUUUUGCUUUACG